CAUGGGUUUAUAUAACGUAUUGCUAUGCACUAGAUCUUCGCCAGAUGUUUAAAUAAGAAUGCAUAACUACAAAUAAGAUCUUCGUCGGAUGUUCGAAACAGAAUACCUAUGUGCGUUUGGAACUUCUUUAGAAUUUUAGAAGAAUAGACAUACAUCAGGAGAUCUUCAUUACAUGAAAACAUGAAUGAAAAGGUCUACAACGGCAAUGAUACUAGAGAUGCUAGAGAGACUAGCGCGUAUGCUGAUAAGCCUUUCUUCUGAGAAGCAGCUCUAGAACAAAGAACAAGAAGUCCCAAACAUAAUAGAAGUAAUAAAGACUCUCAUAAUUUAAGCAUUUUGCUAUCAAUGCGCGACCUGUAUUUAUUCCUCGAUCUACAGCCUUUUAAAUG